rnacentral:rRNA from 1 species
CAAAUAUCUUGGCCCUAUCAACUUUCGAUGGUAGGAUAGUGGCCUACCAUGGUUUUUACGGGUAACGGGGAAUAAGGGUUCGAUUCCUGGAGAGGGAGCCUGAGAAACGGUACCGAUCCAAGGAAGGCAGCAGGGCGCAAAUUACCCAAUCCCAAUUCGGGGAGGUAGUGACAAUAAAUAACAAUAUAGGGCUCUUUUUGGGUCUUAUAAUUGGAAUGAGUACAAUUUAAAUCACUUAACGAGGAACAAUUGGAGGGCAAGUCCUGGUGCCAGCAGCCGCGGUAAUUCCAGCUCCCAAUAGGCGGUCAUUAUUUUACACAGGUUGGUUGCCAGGUUUAAAAAAAAGGCUUC